UAGACUAUCCAUUUAAUUUUAUUUAGGCUAAUUUGACUUAUAGGCUACAGUAUACGUAUUUAAAAAAAAUUUAUUUGUAAAUUUCACUGAGAGUAAAUUUCAGUAAAAUUCUCAUUUACAAAUCAGUAAAUUUCAGUUUUUGGCUUAAACAACUCCUAUUUAAGCCAACAGAUUUUUACAAACAUACAAAGUCUACAUAAAGCUGCGGUGUGUUGACAAUAUCUUCACUCGAAGCAUUUUUCUAAACAGUAACUUAGAGAGAAAUCCAGUGUUUCUCCCUUCUGGCCUCCUCCGUAUUCCUUUCCCGGCUGAUCUGAUUAUUUUUCCCUUCACGUUUUGUCCCAAUAGCAAAUUACCAAUUCUAUGAAUUGCAAAGCAGCCUCGGAGACGCUGAGGGGUAGAGAGGGGGAGAUGCGAAGAUUGAAAGGGAUCUUUGCAAACACAAUCACGUUCUUAAAUGGAAAUGUGGGGCUUUAAACAAAUCUUACAUCUCUCCUGUUCCAGUCGUCUAAAACUCCGCAAUCAGGCACACGUUCGACUCCAUCUAAAACCACAGCUUUUUUAGAAGAUUUUUUUGGUAUCACUUCUAUUUAAAUUAUUUACCUCACUGUAUUUUUUUUAGUUCACGUUCGUGUUUGUGUGUUUGUCUUGCUCUUAUGGGGUGUUUCCACAGGCUUUUGCGAGGAAAUGUGCCGUUACAGGCGGAGAUUUCAGGCGUCAAACCAAAACGCUUCUCUGUGGACUAAUGGAGCUGAAAGCUGAUGAUGAUGAUAGAGAAAAUAUCAUGCAAAUUUGCCUUCUUUGAAAGCAGAACCAGAGAUAAAAGAGGCUCAAAGGGGCCUGAAAGGACCGAGCGACUUGCUUUCGAGACAUCUGAGGAAACCACUGAAAAAGCCAAUAAUGAGAUCAAGGGGCAUUUGGGUAUGAAUUCGACCAUAUGAUAUCAAGAAGACUUUAGGGAGGCUGCUUUAGCAACAGAUGCUUUGAGAUCAACACGAUAUGCUCGCACUGAACUUGUAGCCAUGGGGUUAUGUGCCUUAUGUGUGUGUUUUUGAGGGCAGCUCCAUACCGUGACUGGCUAGGAGACAGUGAUGGCAAAGAGCGGAGUGACCAGACCAGCUCCAGCCCAAAAGGGGUCACGACCAGACGCCAAGUGCUCCUGUCUCGAUGUCGUCUGUGGUCAAGCACUCGCCGGGGCAGACUGAAUUAAAUUAGACUGCUUUUAAUUGAGGAUUGACCGGUCUGAGAGCAGCUGGUGCUUGGGUCAGUCAAGAUAGCAAAGCCUGAAUCCCCCAGGCCCCAACUGCAAUUUCAGCCCUGCAGGUCCUGGAAUGGACUGGGCAGAGCAUGCUGGGAAUGCAUGGCUGAUGAUUAGCAAUAGAGUUUAUAGGAAGGCUUAGAUGAGAUUUGGCUUGUUUGCUUGAGUGGAAAGUGUAACACACACACUCAGAGCCUGUUCUUGUGUAGACUCAGCGUAAAUCGGCUUAGGGAUUGCACCUCGCUGAAAAUCUCCUCAAUCGCCCGGUCGACACAAUUAAUCGCUUCAUUAAUUAACAAUCGCUGCGCGUGAUACACCACCCCGACUGCGUCUUGGCAAGUGUGCAACUUACAAGCAACCUCCUUUUUCUUCUUGCUUUCUCUUCUUUCACUCCUCCCACCCGCUCCGAUACUCCUCUUUAUCUUUUUCUUCUGCACUCCUUUUCCUUCUUUAAGCAGCAUUGCAAAAGCCAACUCUGCUGUUUUAGCACGAACAGACGCACUUUUCUCUCGGCAAGCAGGUCAGAGCGCUCUGCUAACAUUUGUUAUCUAUAAUCCUGCAGGUCCCCGCGCAAAAUGAGCGUAGUAAACUCUUGCAAAGCCCUAAUCCCUCCAUUUCUUUUAGAUGUGCUUUCUCUCUCUCGCACGCACGCUCUUUUCUUUUCCAUCUAUGGGGUGGGAAAGUGUUUUUUUAAGAGGAGGCAUCUGAUUGCAGCACUUAUUUUUGAGCUCUUCUGAAUUACCAAACUUCUUUUACCUCCAAAUAAUUAACAAUCCUUUUCUGGCAAUUAAAAAGAUUUUUUUUUUUUAAUGCACUCCAAUGCUGAAGAAUUAUUUCAGGCCGCCACCAGCCACCCAUGCUUUUAUGACAGGCUUUGUUGAUUUGCUUUCUGAGUCCUUGUGUGUGGUUCAGAGUAGCUGUUAUGCAAAAUCUCUCUCUGUAUUCAUACUGUACGCAUUUAUGGUUUAACUGUCAGUUAAUUUGGCUCGUGCUGUUGAUUCAUCUCAGUAACAUACAAGGAUACGUGCAAAAAAAGUUUUUUUUCCUUUCGCCAUCACUCUCAAUUAUCUAUGCGCUGAUUUGAUUUGAGUUCGAUACUAUGCAAAUGAUGUAUAUGAAUGCUCGCGUGCAGUUCUGCUGCAUUUUGUCUUGGUCAUGCACACCCACACAUGUAGCGAGCACGUCGGCGUGUGUGUGUUGUAUGGUGAGUAAUAGCAGGGCUCGGUGGAAGGCUGUAGUGUUGACAGCAUGGUAAACGAUGCAGCCUGCCUACUGCAGCAGCUAGCCUGCUAAUCACACACACCACAUGAUAAUGAGAACAACCCCUGUCCUCCAACACACACACAUACGACUAACCACAGAAAACAGACAAACAUCCUCUCACACACACUGACCCAUACUUCUACAGACAAAUGGAAGACAUAAUGGUAGCCGGAGGCAGUGCUCACUGCAUCUCUCUAUCUCUCUCUCUCUUACACUCUUGAACUAAACACAUCUCUAUCUCUUUACUGUCCUUAUGCACAUACUGUAGAAAAGAAUUGUUGGUUUAACUUAAAGUAAGUUACCUGGUUACCUUAAAAUUUUGAGUUCAUUAAAAUAAAAAAUUUGAGUUAAUUCAAUGAAGGGGAUUGGUUUAAUCAACAGAAACUCAAAAUAUUAUGUUAUCUGAACCACAUUAAUUAAGUUGAUUUGACAAAAGAAAAAACGUUGUGCUAACAAAUCAUGAAUAUAUAUAUAUAUAUAAUUUUUUUUUUUUUUUUUUACAGUGCAUACACUCGUCUCUCAUACUAACAGCUUUUUCAGAAGAGACUCGGACUUGAGUCUACACUCACUGUAAUGACCAUUAAAAUUUAGUUACUAUUAGUUACUAUAAUUUAAAAAAAUGAAUACAUUUAAUAACAUUUGAUUAAAAUUAUUAAAUAAACUAUUAAUGAUAAAAUAUUACAUUUAAAAUGUCUUUUAUGUAAAUAUUAUGACAAUUUAAAAUAACUAUUUUCUAUUUCAAUAUAUUAAAAACAUUUAAUUUAUUCUUUUGAGGGCAAAGCUGGAUUUUCAGCAUCAUUACUUCAGUCUUCAGUGUCACAUGAUCCUUCAGAAAUCAUUCUAACAUGCUGAUUUGGUGCUUAAGAAACUUUUCUUAUUAUUAACAAUGUUGAAAACAGUUGUGCUGUUUAAUAUUUUUGUGGAAUCUUGAUGAAUAGAAAAUUCAAAAGAACAGCAUUUAUUUGAAAUUAAAAAAAUAAAACAAUGUAAACGUCUUUAUUGUCACUUUUGAUCAGUUAAUGCAUCCAUGCUUAAUAAAAGUAUUAAUUUCUUGAACAACAAACUCUUACUGAACAGUAGUGUAAGUAAAACCUCACACACUUUAUUUUAGAUAUGUAUUAAAUGAUCAAGGAUUUUUAAAAAGAAAACAUACUUGGACUUUUCAAAAAAAGCAACAUGUCUUUUUCCUUAAAAGCUGCUUCAAAGUGCAAAAUAAACAUUUUACACACACAUCCAGACACACAGCAUAUUACAUGCGAUAUAUCAGACCUUCCAGCUAAGGGAAUGAGGAGGAGUUGAGAAAGAAAGGAAGCAAGCAAGCAAACCCUCAAACUCAGACCCAUGGGUACAAGAUUUUAGAUAAAGACUCCUUUCUAAAGGCAGCUGUGGGCUAUGAGAGAUUUCAGUUCCAAUUUCAGUUUUUACUCUUUUUCUCAUAACCCAAAAAACUUCAUACCCAAAAAAUUUGGGGGACAGGAACAAGGGGGCAAACAGUCAUCUGUCAUUAAACCACACAGUCAUCACCAUAAUCAAAGACUACCUGACAAAAUCUCACCUGCUUUAAACCUAAAGGCUUACUGUGACACAAACCUGAGCUUCGGAAUUGCAAGACACUUGAGGACUGUGCCAGGAUGCGAAAAAUAACGGCAAUUUGUUUGAGGUCACAUGCAGAUUUCCUGCGCAUUACCCAUGAUUAACACAGGUAUAAAUGAGGAUAUUGUUUCCUGGCAAACGUGCACUCUAAGGAAUGAAGAUGUGCAAAUGGUUUCGUUCAUUUUAAAUGAGGCGACACUUCACACAGUCUCACAUUCACACUUCUUUGUAUCUUGCAGGGUGGCAUGUGCAGGAUGUAGACUGGAGCAGGUGUGGUGCCUGUAGGUCCUUUUUGUACCAUAUGUACUCAGUAGGAAAUUCCAGUGACCACCUGCAGGGACAGUUUCUCGGAAGCAGCCUGGGGUGCUGUACUCAAGGGCACUUGGAACCUGCACCCUUUGUACUGUCAGCUGAGAUCCUUAACCCUGUAUUUGUGUAGCAAAGUGGUAAAGCUUCUCAUUUGACAGAGAGAGCGAGCAAAUGUGUUUGUGUGUAAAACGUGUAAAAGCCAUUUAGGAUUUGACCCCCUGACACUGCUUAGAGGCAGCUUUUCCUUGUAGUAUACUUGGCUGCAAACACACUCUCUCAUGCUCUCGCUCAUGUUUGGAUCUCUUUCCUCUGGUUGCUAAGCCACAUAGACUGGGACAAUAGCAAUGCUUGUACUGUCUCUCUGCACUGUCACCGUAUAUGCUGUUGCAUCAGUUCUUCCACGAUCUAUAUGUGUAACUGCACAAAACUUUUUCAUUUCAUUAUAUGCUUACAAGCAGGUUCCAAAAUUAACACUCACCAAGUGACAAAUGAAGCUAAAAAUUGGAUUUGGCAAGUAAAUAAUUAUUGACCAGUAGGUUGGUCUAGAUGGUAAAGUCAUCUGAUAUGAUUGUGUCUGACAUGACUUGCAAGUAAAUUUACCAUUUUAAGCUUGCCAAUGUUUUUCUCAGGUGACACAUCUAUGCAAUAUCCAUGCAUUAAGCCACCAAAAAAACAUAUAAAAAAAAGUGAAAGAUAAUUCUGAAACAAUGAACAAAAAUACAAUGCAAGUCAAUGGAAACUGAAACUCUUUGGUUACCAACAUUCUUCAAAAUAUCUUCUCUCUUUCAUGUUCCACAGAAGAAAGAAAGUCAUACAGGUUUGGAAUGACAUGAGGAUGAGUAAAUGAUGAUAUUUUUUGUUUUGGGUGGACUAUCCCUUUAAGGUAUUUAUUUUUUGUUUUUGUAAGAAGUGCAGUUUCACUAUGAGAAUAUAUUUUUGAACAUAAAAAUUCAAAAUAAAGUUUCAUGAACUCUAA